CCUAUUCUCUGUUUGUAUGAUAUUUCACUAUUUCUGCCUCAUAUAUAUUAGUAUACCUUUACAAAUACAACUUCAAGUAUAUUAUUGUCCUUAUCAUAAGUUGUCUAUUUCCAGAGGAAAUGCUAAUGGAAACAUAUAAGGCUAUGGUGGGUGCUGCGCAGCAGUUUUGGUUUUUAGUCGUUUGGAAAAGCAUACGGAGGAUAAAAGUUCCCUUUCUUCUGUUUAAUUUUUUCUUUGAGAAAUUGCAAGGAACUUAUUUCUUGGUAAUGACUAUGUAUGAGCAAACUACUGUAACCACAAUUUACACAAAUCAAAAUCAAUUCCGGAAAGGUAUUGGAGCUUACAGUCUCACUUGGCGAUUUGCUCUUGGCACGGUCCUGUGUGUAAAAGGUCCCUGGCCAAAGCAUGAGUAGAAAAGGUGUCUUUGAAGUUUGAACAUUCUCGUGUCUUUUGCUUUCCUUGAGACAAUAAUUUUAGUAGUUGUUUUCUUGACUAAAGACACCUUAUCCUGUGGUACUUCUGUAUGAUUCCUUUUAUUGUACUAAUGUAUUGACCGUUUAACUAUAAAAAAUGUGUUUUCAGUAUUUGUUAUCACGUUUGGUAUUUCACUUCAUACUUUGCUGUAAGUCUGUCACUGCGAAACUACAAACUACUAAUGUUCAGAGUGAGAGGAUUUGGUUGUAUUUGUCUGGACGAAGAAUUUGUUGCAGUUCCACGUUGGAUAUGUUCUGCAAAAUUAUCCUGUUGCCACAUUUAAAAUAAAUCUUAACUAGUCUUGUUGCACGGGAAUUACACUUCAGCCGUUGCACUAGACUUCCGCGCAUUCACGGAUAUUAACUAUUAACAUCCCAAGUUGACUUUCUUGACAUGGGUGAGACAGUGUCUUUUGUAUUCGUGUUUGGCAUCCCAGAUGACGGUGUAAUCCUGACCUUAUAGUUCCAUAGAAUGUUUUGAGAAGUUGUUGCCUUCUGAGUUCUGAAUAAGAGCUUUUGGGCACAUUCUGCAAAACGCGCAACAAAUCAUAUAUAGAGGUCCCUGCUUGCAUUGCAUCCAGUACUGUGUAAAAAAAUUCGUAGCAAGCACUAUAUGUUUUGCUUAUGUUCUCCUAAGCAAAAACAGGGCAUAUGCUGAGACUGUCAAUCUGACAUCCUGUUAUUCCAAAGACCCCAGCUAGGUCAGAGUAGAUUUCGAAUUAUAGCGCUGGUCAACUUUUAGAGGUUGCAGUAUUCAGGAAUUGGCUUAAGAACAAAUACAAUUACCACCAACAUUCUAUUCACCAUCGGCAUUCUCAAAGACGCAGACAUACCUAUAACUUUUCAUUCCUAACCCAUUGAGACGUGCUACUGAUUCUCCCAACUUUUAGUACAAUAGGAACAUGUUUCCUGUUACUAUUUAAUUUGAAUUCGGGGACAAAGCUCUCACUGUCUGGAUCAAACUACUUAUAAAAGAAAAUUCUUGUGGAAUGGAACACAUGCUUGCCACUAGAAUGUGUUAAUAAUUACUUUCAUUUAAUGUAAUAAAUGAACCAGUCCACUUUACAUUAGUCCCACAACAGAGGCUUAGAGCUGCCUUAAAAUCAAUGAGCAGGUUAUAUUAACACAAUUGACACUGAUAUCCUUGGACCCCGCGAGAGGUUCAUCUACCAAUGAUUUUGGCAGAUCUCUAUCUUCUCCUCUCAGAUGCAGUACGGUAUGCUUUCUUGCAAACUUAGCAACGCUUCAGUGAACUCCCUCAUUUACUUACCACAAAGGAACAAAUGAAAAGCACACUCAAGCCAAAAUGUAAGAAAAGAAUAUGAACACCGGAUCAACAUGGAAUAUUCUUACAACCUUUUGGAUUAGUGGGGGAACAAAUUUCUCUUUACUUCUCUUUGUGUGGCAAUUGCAGGGAUACCAGAAGUAUACAGAGAAGUUCCUUGACCAAUGUAUUUCAGUAUUUGAGGACAUGGCGGCGCAGCCAAAGCUCAUACAUAACCAUAUGGAAUGCAUCAUACUUUAUGGGAGGUGUAUUCCAUUGGAAGUACUUCUGGACCUGAAUACAUUUCAAAAGAAGAGACAAGAGCCAAGUUUUAACAUGCAUAAAAAUCUUAAUGCAUAUUCUGAGUAAUUAUUAUAGAAUACCACUCAGAAUUUUUCUCUUGUUUCUAUUGUAUCAUUUUGAAACUACUUUCCCAUCCAAGCCAAACAUGAACAUGAGAAAAAGGAAGAAAAGAGAAAGGAAAAAGAAAAAGUGAAGUACGAAACUAAUAAGACUAUAGAUUAUCCUGAACUAGAAGCACAAAAUUAUAGUUAUUCUGUUGAACAUUUGUGUCAUUUUGGAUAGUUAUACCUUGACUAAAUUGGUAUGUAGCGCGACGACUUCCUCAUCAGGUAUCUCCUUUAGAAUGUACUUUAGCCGGUAGACAUCACUCUCCUUGAGUAUGACGGAGAACUUACGCCAAUUGAGGAUAUAGUUGAAUGGCAAGUCAUAGUAAUCAGACAAGAUAACUGCAAAAGAAAAAGGUAAAGUUCAGCUGCAAAGUUUACAGUAUAUGUGAAAUCAGAGAGGGGAAAACGUCAAAGCCAUAUGACAAAGAGGCGUUAGAUUCCUUCAUAAAUGGAACUUUUGUUUUAACACAUGGAAGUUGUGUCAUAGACAUAGCACGGAAGACCUAAUUGACCAUUUCACAUUCUCACCUCAUCCAUGUCGGGAGUUGUUGCCUAUUGCUUGCCAACACAUUGCAGAUUUUCUUUUUCUUCAAAGCCCCCCCCCCCCCCCAACUAAAUUAUAUUUUAUAAAAGUGAUAACUAAUAGCUAAUGCAGUCAUGCUCUAAAAGACAAGGAUUAAGUAACAAGAGAGGUAAGGUAAUCUGGACACACCUCAAAAUUGGUCCAAAUCAGCAUGCCCAGAGGAGAGGGGGGGGGGGGGAUACCAUUGGAACGAGGAAUCUGGAUAUGCAACCUAUGACACAAGCUUAGAAAUCCUUUCACAUGUUAUUUAGUAGCCUCUUAAUGGAUCACAGUCGUCCUGAUCCAGAUUUACAUUUUGGAUGGUCAGAACUGACCGGUGCAAGGGUCAUGUAAACUAGGCAGACUGAUAGAGAAAAUCAUAAAACGAAAAAGAACAAAUGCAGGGUGUGGACCUACAGAGAGUAUAGGGAAUAAUAGUAUAAAAAGGAAAGGUGAGGCAGGUGACACUGACACAAGGAGGAUUUGCCUAUGACACAUAAGUCAUAUGGGUGUGACCACUACUUCAUUUUUAGUUUUUGAUAUGUUUUGUGGUAAAUGUUUCCUACUUAAACUAGGAAGCCUUUUGAAUUUAGAGACAUUAGGUCUCUCCUAGUUCGUCAUUUUGGAUUAAAAGAGAUUGCUUCCUAUUCCCUGGUGAAGAGCCCUAAUUUAAGUACCAAGCGUUUUCCAAUUUUAAUUUUAUAUUAGUCUGCUUAUACUUAUUAUUAAGGUUUUGAACUUUUGAAGUAUCUUAUAAAAUAGUUAAUUGACUGCAAUUAUCUUUUGGGCAACUAGUAUAUUUUGGAAUCUGGAUUCCUUGAAAUAUUUGCAUCAUUAACAGAAUUGAAGAUAGUAAUAAAUAACAUAACAUAUGCGAGCAAAUGCACAUCAUUAUAGACAUAUUACAAAAGGAUGUGAGAGUAAUUUCUAACCAGGAACACAGCCAUAUGCGGUUCAAAAUGUUCAAUAUAAUAUUUAUCAUCUUACCUAAAAAUAUUAAGUUCAAAUUUGGGGGUAUACAAACGUUAAUUAGUCGAUUAAUGUAAUAAAUACAAUUUUAGGUGAAAUUAGGGAUUUUGGGGAUUUCCUAUAUAGAGGGGUUUAAUUAUCAAAUUGAUUAGUUCAAUAUAAUGUUUAUCAUCUUACAUAAAAAUAUGAAGUUCUGAUUUGGGGGUUUACAAAAGUUACUUAGUCGAUUAAUAUAAUACAUACAAUUUUAGGUGAAAUUGGGGAUUUUUAAUUUAAGGGAUUAUAAUUGUAAAAAUGUGUGAUUAUAAUGGCAAACCUCUACUAAAAAGUAGUCUAAAAACGAAAUUUUGCUACCAACAAAAUAAAUAUUUAACAACAAAAGAAUACCAUCAUUUGAUUAAAUUUCGGUAAGAUUGUACAUAGAAAAUAAAUAAAUAACGACAAAUUGAUAUCGUGAACCUAACCACUUUCGAUAGAUUCACACCAAUAUAAUAAAUAUUUUCGGCGUUGUUCCACCGAUAUUUUUUAAAAUAUUAGUAUAUUUCUGCCGUAAUUAAAAAAAAAAAAAAAAAAACCGAAAGUAAGAUAUUGGUUUCUGUCUUUAGAAAACUAUAUACGGUUUAAUAUCAAAUAAACCCGGUUUUUUGGGGUCUGUUGUUAGAAAACCGGGAGGUGCUUAUAUUAUAGCAUCACCCAUCUAUUUUCUCUUCUCUUCUCUACCUCCUCACUGCUAAAACCCUAGAGAUUUUUAAGAGGUUUUAUUACCAGUUGAAUAAACUAUGGAGGAGAUUCAUCAGGAAGAUUCAUCUAAGAACGAAAUUCUCAAAAAAUAAUUUUUAUUUUAAACUAAGCUGUGUUUAUAAGUUUAGUGUUUUUUUUUUUUUAAAUUUAAUUAAUGCUUUUGUUUUCAGAGAUACACCUCAAUUAGCUGCUGUAUUAAAAGAAAUGAAAGAAGUAUUAGAUACAGUAAGGAGUAAAGUGCAAAUUCUAACUUCCAAGGUGAGUUUCUUGAAAAUUCUGCUUUUUUGUGAUUUAAAGAUGAUUUUUUAUUUUAAUUUUGAAGGAAAUAAUAUGUGAGAAUAAUUUUUCAAUUAGGUAAAAGAAGACAAUUAUCUAACAACAGAUGGGAUCAGUUAUCUUGAGGCGAAGCAUUUGAUGUUAUUAAAUUAUUGUCAGUCAGUUGUUUACUAUGUGCUCAGAAAAACGAAAGGGUUUUCAGUUGAAGGGCACCCUGUGGUUCAAAGUCUCGUAGAGAUAAGAUUGUUUUUGGAGAAGGUAAGUAACCAUAGUUUUUUAUUUUGUGGUAAUUAGUGUCAUUAACAUUGGAUUAACUAGAUAGCUGUUUUCCCUUAGUACUAGAAUUGUUAUGAAAAGUGUUGUGAAAAGCUGGUAGAUGGUACUUGAUAGUUUCUCCGGAAUACAGGUUCGUCCUAUCGAUAAAAAACUUCACUACCAAAUUGACAAGCUCUUAAAGAUUGCUAAAAGUUCAGAGGAGAAAGUGCUAGAUGUCGAGAAGAAACCAAAAGCAUCUCAAAAGGCAAAGGAUGAUGCACGAAACUAUCGGCCAAACCCAGACAACAUGAUUAGCAUGUCAAUCAAUGAUCCAAUGGUUUGUCGAAUUAGCACAAUAUUUCAUUGUUAUCUUUUGAUCACUGUAAAUGAAAAUCUUAAUAAUCAUGUUUCUGGACUGUAGAAUGCUGAUAAUCUAUACCGAUCACCCGAAUUUGCGCCUACUACUGUGGAUGAUGAUAAGAUGUCCAAACAAGAAAAAAUGGCACUGAGAAAGGAUAAAUUAUUGGAUCGGAAGGCUAAGCAAAAUCCUUUUAUGAAAGAUUUCAUGGAUGACCUUGAAGGAAGGCCUGAAGAGGUUAGUCAUAGACUACUUUUGUGAAGCUAAUGCAACUGGUAUGGUUUAUAUUGUUUGUUUUGUAAUGGCCAAUUUUUGAUGCAGAUUGUAGAAUCUGUUGAGGCUGCGAGUAAAGAGCUUACUAAGUAUUUGUCAAAGAGAUGGAGCGACAAGAGGAGGAACAUUUUAUUCGUGCUCCACUUUCAAAGGUGGAAAAGAGGAGAGAAAAGCACUUGAAAAAAUCAAGGAAUGGUUAUGCACAUUAAGCAUUUUACUAUUUUUUUCCUUUUUCUUUUUGAUUAUUAUCUUGUGUGGUACAUUUGUUUUUGUUGCUAUAUAACAUGCCAAUAUUUUCGUAAACUAGAUUGAUGGUCUGACGGAUGGUUUUGAGGUUGAAGUCAGAGCGUUUGGGUUUGGGGAUGAUGAUAGUAAAGCAGGCUUCAACAUGUAACAAUCAUGAGUUGGUGUUACUCCCACAUUGCCAAGGAAGUGGUUGUAUUGGUAGUAUAUAGAGCUUAACCAUACUCUAACUAAUGUCAAGGCCUUUUGGGGUAAACCACAUGGAUGGGCCCUGAUCCAAAACCCUCUACUGCUGGAUAUCCGUAGUGACUAAAGAGGGACAAUAUUGACAUUAGCGAGCGGUAUGGUGCUCGACGCACCGGGAUGAGCGAGGACGAAAUCCCGGGGCGUUACACAACAAUUCUAACAGCAGAGGGAAAAAAUUUAAUAAGCACAACAAGGUAUGACCACAUUAAGCUUGACAAUUUAUUCACAUAAUGUUUGAGAUGACAAGGUUGCAUUUGUUCUCUAUGUCUUUUUUUUCUUUUUUUUGGUCUUCUUCAAAAAGGAAAUAAAGUGUAUGGUAGUCUUUAUUGAUGAAGGGGAGAUGAGUAUGCAAGAAAAGACACACAAUCCAUAGAGAGCUACUGGCAAUAUAUAAAUCAAACGUUAACUUUUUCGUUUCCCACACCCUCUAUUCAGUUUCUUAUUGUCACCAUUAACCAUCCAAAGCCAUCUAAAAAUGACAUGAAAAUUUGUUCGUAUAAGAUACAGUCACAUCGUUCAAGUUUAAUCAAAAUAUACUAGCAAGGGGAUUAAUAAAAAAAGUAAGGAAAUGUAUGGAUGUUUUCGGUUGGGAGAUGAGCUAUAUAUAGUGUGAGAACAAAUGAAGCAAGGCAUAUGCUUAUCUAUCUAAUGCUUCCCAAUGGUUUAGCUAAAACAAUUUAAUAAGCAUUUUUAGCUGUUUUUAAACGGUGAAUAAAGAUAUCGAAUUAAAUGGAGGAACAAGAGAUUUACUGUGGUGGUAUUCAGCUUAUACAUCAUUUCUCUAUUGAAGCAAGUGUUGUCAGAACAGUGGUAUGUUGACUAACACCAGUCGAAACAGCUUAAACGGACCAAGGUCCAAGUAGUCUAUAGUCUCUACGUCUGUUGGACAUUUUUUCACUUUUGUUUCUGUUUCCACAAAGUUGGUCCCUGAACUAUAUUAGAAAAGGUGUUUGAUACACCCAAGAAGGGCAAUGAGUGAGGGACGCAACCCAGUCUGAAAAACAAAAACAGGAAAAAGAAAAAUACAACCGAAGGUAAAAACCGAGUUUGUCCUUAUCCGUGAGUUGAUCCCAUUAACCAAGACCACUGUUUUGCCUUGGCCUUCAAAACCAUGGAGUCAGUUUUCAAGCUUUUAUUUUCAUAUAUGAUUUUGUUUCUAGAUUGUUUUACAACCCAAAAGAUACUAUUGUAACCAGUCCACAACCUCGCAUCAUUUGCAUCCCAUGACAUCAUUCACACCAAGCUGCUAGAAAUAGCAGUUGGGAAAUCCUUGACGGGAUUGAGUUUACAAAAGGAGUCAAGUCGCAGCACAAUAGUAGAUACAUUCAUCCAGGUUAAAGUGUUUCCAAACUUGCCUUAGCUACCUCAUUUCAUAUUCUUGGGGGUGUUCAUUCAUGACAUCAUUCACACCAAGCUGCUAGAAAUAGCAACUGGGAAAUCCUUGACGUGAUUGAGUUUACAAAAGGAGUCAAGUCGCAGCACUAUAGUAGAUGAAUUCAUCCAGGUUAAAGUGUUUCCAAACUUGCCUUAGCUACCUCAUUUCAUAUUCUUGGGGGUGUUCAUUCAUGACAAAUUGAAUUAUACUCGUAACUGUAAUCUGUUUCACGACAUCCCCUAUUCUCUGUUUGUAUGAUAUGUCACUAUUUCUGCCUCAUAUAUAUUAGUAUACCUUUACAAAUACAACUUCAAGUAUAUUAUUGUCCUUAUCAUAAGUUGUCUAUUUCCGGAAGAAACGCUAAUGGAAACAUAUAAGGCUAUGGUGGGUGCUGCGCAGCAGUUUUGGUUUUGAGUCGUUUGGAAAAGCAUACGGAGGAUAAAAGUUCCCUUUCUUCUGUUUAAUUUUUUCUUUGAGAAAUUGCAAGGAACUUAUUUCUUGUUAAUGACUAUGUAUGAGCAAACUACUGUAACCACAAUUUACACAAAUCAAAAUCAAUUCCGAAAAGGUAUUGGAGCUUACAGUCUCAGAUGGCGAUUUGCUCUUGGCACGGUCCUGUGUGUAAAAGGUCCCUGGUCAAAGCAUGAGUAGAAAAGGUGUCUUUGAAGUUUGAACAUUCUCGU
rnacentral:lncRNA from 1 species